GGUGUUGCGGCCAUUCCCAAACUGCGCCCUUUACUGUCAGCCUGAGUCUUCAGGAGAGGAAGGGCCGAGUAACUCAUCAAACCCUCUGGCAAGUCCUUGAUCCACUGCCCCGGAGAAGUCAGGGUCUGUGUCCUGCGCCGCCAGGGAUGCUGGUUUCUGCUGUGAGGAAGGAUGAAUCACGACCCUCUCGUACCUGAUCUGCUCGCCUGUGAGGACUGGGGUUCUAGCAGAGAAAACUCACAUUCAAGAAAUAGGGCACAAACCUCCUGCACUCAACCUUGGCAGCCGGUGGAACAGCCUCUGGGGACCCAGGUACAAGAAGCCCCAACUGGGUGUCAGGAGACGGAAGUCCCAGUUCCAGACCAUGGUCAUCAAGCUGUGUGACCUUGGCAAGUCCUGCAGUCACCUGGGGCCUUGGGCUCCUGACCUGAAAAAUGAAAACUGAACGGUUGAGCAGGCGCUCUGAAGUCCUCCAGCUCUGACUGACACCCCAGGGACACCACCUUUACCUCUGACUGGAAACUCCGGGGUCCUCGAGUUUUUCUCUCAUUCAUAAAAUGGCUAGGAAAUCCAUUCUCGCUAGUAUCUGCAAGAGAGGCCAUCAGAAAAAGGUCCUCGUGUAGUUCAAACAUGCCAGUGGCGAAUGAGGACACAUUCCUCCCAUUCCAAAGAGUAGACCUGCCACUCUAGGGCUGUCUGUUAAAU